AGAGAGAGAGAGAGAGAGAGAGAGAGAGAGCGCAGUAACCACUGAAGGUAUCAGGCAAAGAGUCCUCUGAGCUCUGUUAUGACGAAAGAUUCUCAGGCAGAUAUAAGGAGAAAGAAUAUGGAAACCACUUGGACAAAGGCAUGCAGGAAGGAAAUUGAACGUCAGGUCGGAGAACAGCUGGCAGGCCUGCUUGGAUGGAACUGUCUGCUCAGCUAUUCCUGAAACCAGAGAUCAAAGAGGGGAUAUCAUCUGGAUCGAUUGGAAGACAUUCCAGAAAGUCAAACGCCCAGGAUUUGCCAUUUGAAAGUGAAUCCCCCAAACAGCCCCCUCUUCACUCAACAUUUGGAAACCAUGACCUGAGGAAUAUCUUGUAUUUGCAAGUAGCCUUCCAUGUCUAUGUCUGUGGUUCUCCGAUCCAGUUUUACCCCAUACAUCUGUAAGCCUGCUCACAAGAAGUCUCCUACAUGGCAUCCAAAGACGCCCACUGUGGACGCAUACCCUCUCACACACAAAUACACUCAACCACACACACACACACUCUGAAACUCACACACACACU